GUCCUUUCGGGGAUAUCCUAUAAAAUUGGAACGAUACAAAGAAGAUUAGCGUGGCCUUGUGCAAAGAUGACACGCACAUAUCAAAAAAUGGACCAAAUUGUA